rnacentral:rRNA from 1 species
UAGCAUAUGCUUGUCUCAAAGAUUAAGCCAUGCAUGUCUCAGUGUAAACACUAGUAUUGUGAAACUGCGAAUGGCUCAUUACAUCAGUGAUAAUCUCUUUGAUAGUGCGUGGCACAUGGAUAACUGUGCUAACCGUAGAGCUAAUACAUGCCCAGAUUCUUGGAUUUCGGUUCAAGAAGCAUUUAUUAGGUUCGAGCCAACCUGACUCAUUUUUUGUGUCAGUGCGGAUGAAUCAUAAUAACUUUUGCGAAUCACAGAGCCCCAUUUUGUGGCGGUGAUGCAUCAUUCGAAUCUCUGCCCUAUCAGCUUUUGAUGGUAGUGUCGUGGACUACCAUGGCGAUAACGGGUAACGGAGAAUUAGGGUUCGAUUCCGGAGAGGGAGCCUGAGAAAUGGCUACCACAUCCAAGGAAGGCAGCAGGCGCGUAAAUUACCCAAUCCUGACUCAGGGAGGUAGUGACCAUAAAUAACGACGCUCGGCCUUUGGUCGUGCGAUCGGAAUGCGAGAAGCUUUAAGCUCUUCUCGAAAGCAACUGGAGGGCAAGUCUGGUGCCAGCAGCCGCGGUAAUACCAGCUCCAGUAGCGUAUAUUAAAGUUGUUGCAGUUAAAAAGCUCGUAGUUGGAUGUCGGAAAGGACCUCAUGGUUUUGUCCGGCACUCUUAAGGAGUGUUCCGUGACCCAGAGUGUUUUCCAUUUCCUAGACGACUGGAGUCGGGUCAGUUUGUGCAUUCACUUGCACGAUUGAUCGCUUUUCUUGAAAGAGAAAGAAACGGUUUCGGUCAUGUUACUGUGAAGAAAUCAGAGUGCUCAAAGCAGGCAUUUGUCCGAAUGGAUUAGCAUGGGAUAACCACCCUUGACCUCGGUCUUUGGGAGUUGGUUCAAAAGAUCGAUGGCGCUUGAUUAAUAGGGACAGUUGGGGGCAUUCGUAUUUCGAAGUCAGAGGUGAAAUUCUUGGAUUUUCGAAAGACGAACAUAUGCGAAAGCAUUUGCCAAGGAUGUUUUCAUUAAUCAAGAACGAAAGUUCGGGGAUCGAAGACGAUCAGAUACCGUCGUAGUCCGAACCAUAAACGAUGCCGACUAGGGAUUGGAAGAUGCGCUUUUGCCAUCUUUCAGCACCUUCCGAGAAAUCAAAGUUUUUGGGUUCCGGGGGGAGUAUGGUCGCAAGGCUGAAACUUAAAGGAAUUGACGGAAGGGCACCACCAGGAGUGGAGCCUGCGGCUUAAUUUGACUCAACACGGGGAAACUUACCAGGUCCAGACAUAGGAAGGAUUGACAGAUUGACAGCUCUUUCUUGAUUCUAUGGGUGGUGGUGCAUGGCCGUUCUUAGUUGGUGGAGUGAUUUGUCUGGUUAAUUCCGAUAACGAACGAGACCUUCACCUCUAAAUAGUGCGCAUCUCUUCCAUUCUUUCUCGACUCGUCGAGGGAAGCGGUUGUUUCGGCAAUCUCUUCUUUUUUCUUCGAGGAGAGUUUGAACGAGGUGAUAAUCCUCCCUAAAAAGAGGAUUGUUUUCGUACUUCUUAGAGGGACGAUGUGCGUUAGCACAAGGAAGUUGGAGGCAAUAACAGGUCUGUGAUGCCCUUAGAUGUCCUGGGCCGCACGCGUGCUACACUGACGGAUCCAACAAGUAUGCUUUUGUACCUGGACCGAAAGGUUUGGGAAAUCUAGCAAUGUCCGUCGUGAUGGGGAUCGACCCUUGUAACUUGGUCGUGAACGAGGAAUUCCUUGUAAGCGCGAGUCAUCAUCUCGCGUUGAAUACGUCCCUGCCCUUUGUACACACCGCCCGUCGCUCCUACCGAUGGAUGGUCCGGUGAAAUCUUCGGAUGUUCUUUGUUUUUUUCCUUUUUUUCCUUCGUGGAGAAAAAGGACAGAGAACAGAAGUUGAU